rnacentral:rRNA from 1 species
UGGGGAAUAUUGGACAAUGGGCGAAAGCCUGAUCCAGCCAUGCCGCGUGUGUGAAGAAGGCCUUAUGGUUGUAAAGCACUUUAAGUGGGGAGGAAAAGCUUAUGGAUAACACCCAUAGGUUCUGACGUUACCCACAGAAUAAGCACCGGCUAACUCUGUGCCAGCAGCCGCGGUAAUACAGAGGGUGCAAGCGUUAAUCGGAAUUACUGGGCGUAAAGCGAGCGUAGGUGGUUUAUUAAGUCAGAUGUGAAAUCCCUGGGCUUAACCUAGGAACUGCAUCUGAUACUGAUAAACUAGAGUAGGUGAGAGGAAAGUAGAAUUCCAGGUGUAGCGGUGAAAUGCGUAGAGAUCUGGAGGAAUACCGAUGGCGAAGGCAGCUUUCUGGCAUCAUACUGACACUGAGGUUCGAAAGCGUGGGUAGCAAACAGGAUUAGAUACCCUGGUGGUCCACGCCGUAAACGAUGUCUACCAGUCGUUGGGUCUUUUAAAGGCUUAGUGACGCAGUUAACGCGAUAAGUAGACCGCCUGGGGAGUACGGCCGCAAGGUUA